rnacentral:rRNA from 1 species
AAUAGAUACCCAGGUAGUCCACGCCGUAAACGGUGGGCACUAGGUGUGGGCGGCAUUCCACGUCGUCCGUGCCGUAGCUAACGCAUUAAGUGCCCCCGCCUGGGGGAGUACGGCCGCAAGGCUAAAAACUCAAAGGAAUUGACGGGGGGCCCGCACAAGCGGCGGAGCAUGUGGCUUAAUCCGACGCAACGCGAAGAACCUUACCAAGGCUUGACAUACACCGGAAACAUCCAGAGAUGGGUGCCCCCUUGUGGUCGGCGUACAGGUGGUGCAUGGCUGUCGUCAGCUCGUGUCGUGAGAUGUUGGGUUAAGUCCCGCAACGAGCGCAACCCUUGUCCCGUGUUGCCAGCAGGCCCUUGUGGUGCUGGGGACUCACGGGAGACCGCCGGGGUCAACUCGGAGGAAGGUGGGGACGACGUCAAGUCAUCAUGCCCCUUAUGUCUUGGGCUGCACACGUGCUACAAUGGCCGGUACAAAGAGCUGCGAUGCCGUGAGGCGGAGCGAAUCUCAAAAACGCCGGUCUCAGUUCGGAUUGGGGU